UACAGUCAAAUCAUCCUGAAAACACCGGUUCUUGUUUGAUCAGCAAAGUUAAGCAAUGUUGAGACUGGUCACUACCUAGAUGGGGGAUUGCUUGUGAAUACUGGGUACUGUAAG